CAUAGCUCAAUGUUCAUUGAAACAUUGUAAUAAACAUAUUAGUGGCCUAAGAAGAAUCAAGUAGUCCAAUAUUAUUCAAUAAAUCACAAAGAUUGUUAGGCAAGAGUCACCACUUGAUAAAAUAUGUGGGCUAUGAAUCUUUUUAGACUUUUAUAGAUACUUCAAAGAAGCUCUAACUUUCAAGAACUCAAAUUUCAUAAACUUUAGCACCAACAAAAAAUGGCAAGAAGAAGAAUUGCAAAGACAUUACCACACGUAACUACACGUA
rnacentral:lncRNA from 1 species